UCUCAAUCGCAAUUCUUCAUAAGCAAAUAAUAAAAGCAAAGAAAAUAAAGAAGUAGCACCAAGCUUACCCCAGCUUACGACUCUCAUAGUCUCGCCCCAAUCUCCCUUUUUUCAACCUCUUUGUCCUACCAAAAGAUGGAUUGUUGUCGUAAUACGUGAAGUCUUGCUUGAGAAUGCUCCGAGCACCUGGCUGUGGAAGGAAGAAUGGAAAUUUUAAUAACAAAAUAAUAAUUCUAAUAGAAUACUAACAAUGCUCUAAUUAGACCAUAAUAAUGUUAAGCAAGCUUAAUCAAAUUCAAAAAAAACUCAAAGAAAUUUCAAACAAACAAUAAGAAUUAUUAAAAAAAUAUUAGAAGGACCACAAAUAUCACUCAAAUACAUCUCCAUUCAAUCUUAAUUUAAUUCUAGUUAAAAUCCUAGUGAACUUCAUUCAUACUUUAGGCCAAAAUUAACUAAAUCUUAAAUCCUAAUAAAAUCUUAAACCCUAAAUAAAACCCUAAACAAACCUUAAACCAAAUCUCAACCAAAUCCUAAAUCAAAUCCUAACCAAAUCCUAAACCAAAUCCUAAACCCUAAAUCAAACCCUACUCAAAUCCUAAUCCAAAUCCUAAACUCUAAACCAAAUCCUAAAUCCUAAAUUAAACCCUAAUCAAAUCCUAAAUCCUAAAUAAAAUCUUAACCAAAUCCUAAAUCUUAAAUCAAAUCCUAAUCCAAAUCCUAAAUCCUAAACCAAAUCCUAAUUCAAACCUUAAACCCUAAAUAAAAUCCUAACCAAAUCCUAA
rnacentral:lncRNA from 1 species